GGAAAAAUACGCUCUAUCAUUGAUAAACCACAAUCACAAUGUUUGGCUUGCAUGAUCUCAUCAAACAAUAUAUUUACACUCUUCACGUCUCUAACAAAUCAGCUCCCCCUAACUUGUAUCAUAUCAUAGUUUUUAAUAGCAUACUAGAAACUUGAGUUUCAGCUACGGAUUUAGAGAGGGAUAUAAUCUGUAGCAAAUUUUAGGCUUAUAGAGAGGGAAUUACGAGAGAUCUGCGAUGAUUUAAACAAUUAUUUUAUUUAUUCAACAUUUAGCAUAUUAGAGAGUGUUUAGCGAGGGAUCAACUACAGAUCUCACAAGUAUUUAUCGACGGACUCUUAUCCCUCGGUAAUCGGUGGAAAACGAAGGAAUUUGGCGAGGGUUCAACGAGGGAAAAAAGAUAGACUUUUUGGCCAUCUGGUACUUGUUUAGCGAGAGAAUACCGACAGAGCAUAUACACGUUGUGUUUUUAACAUUGACGAUCUCUCGCUGAAAUUGACGCUCCAAUUCCAAACUUCGUCUUGCUUAACCUAAUCUCACCCUCUCUGUUCAAACAAAUAACGACAAGAACGGACCAUUGCAGCUUCCAAUUCCAACAGCCUCCACAAUUUUAAAAUCUGAAAUUAUUCUUCGUUAACUUCCGAUUCAGAAAUUGUUGCAGCAUUUGGCGAUUUUGAAAUUGCUUCAGUUGUUGGCUUUGAAGAAGCUGUUCUUGUUGUUUAAUAUGAAGCAUGUUUGGGUUCGGCUGUAGGGAACCCAUAGGAUUCAUGUUCACUUGUUGGGCCCCACUCCCACUCAUACUUUGACCUGGGUCAAGACUAGAAGUGGGCUGCAUUGAAUUCAUCAUAAUUUGUUGAGAAUUUGAACCUCGGUUAGAGAAGACAUGGGAUUUCCAUUUUGCUAAGUAUUAACUGGAAAACCACUUUUCCUUGGUAAAAGUGUUGUUCAUCAGUUGGAUUUAAUACCUGAUCUUCUUGGGACACCUUCAAUAGAUACCAUUUCUGGAGUGGUAGAUUUUGUCAAGAAACACGUGGGCACAUAUACUCCUCUGCUUGCUGGAAAUUCAAUUUAUGUCGCUUUUCUUUUCUUUACCAUGUCUUUUUUCAUGUUCAUUUUGUUUGCCCUUGGUUUGGUUUUCUCUUUUCUGACCA